CUGACAGUUGUGGCUGCUUUGCGUUAUGUAUUGUUGUCUCUACCUUCUUGCCCUUUGUGCCUUUGUGCGCCCAAUAAUGUUUUUACCAUGUUUUGUGCUGCUGUGUUGUUGUGUUGCUACCAUGUUGUCAUGUUGUGUUGCUACCAUGUUGUCAUGUUGUGUUGCUACCAUGUUGUUGUGAUGUUGUGUUGCUACCAUGUUGUCAUGUUGUGUUUCUACCAUGUUGUUGUCAUGUUGUGUUGCUACCAUGUUGUUGUCAUGUUGUGUUGCUACCAUGUUGUUGUGAUGUUGUGUUGCUACCAUGUUGUUGUCAUGUUGUGUUGCUACCAUGUUGUUGUCAUGUUGUGUUGCUACCAUGUUGUUGUCAUGUUGUGUUGCUACCAUGUUGUUGUCAUGUUGUGUUGCUACCAUGUUGUUGUCAUGUUGUGUUGCUACCAUGUUGUUGUCAUGUUGUGUUGCUACCAUGUUGUUGUCAUGUUGUGUUGCUACCAUGUUGUUGUCAUGUUGUGUUGCUACCAUGUUGUUGUCAUGUUGUGUUGCUACCAUGUUGUCAUGUUGUGUUGCUACCAUGUUGUUGUCAUGUUGUGUUGCUACCAUGUUGUCGUCAUGUUGUGUUGCUACCAUGUUGUCAUGUUGUGUGUUUUAUCCUAUAUUUUUUUUAAGUCCCAGCCCCUUUCCCCGCAGGAGGCCUUUUGCUUUCUGGUAGCCCUCAUUGUAAAUAAGAACUUGUUCAACUAGCCUAUACAGGUAGGCUAGUUGAGAACAAGUUCUCAUUUACAACUGCGACCUGGCCAAGACACCUGAAACCCCACCUCUUUAAGGAAUACCUAGGAUAGGAUAAAGUAAUCCUUCUCACCCCCCCCCCCUUAAAAGAUUUAGAUGCACUAUUGUAAAGUGGCUGUUCCACUGGAUGUCAUAGGUGAAUGCACCAAUUUGUAAGUCGCUCUGGAUAAGAGCGUCUGCUAAAUGACUUAAAUGUAAUGUAAAUGUAAGAUAAAGCAUAGCAGUGUGAACAGACAGUUACACAUGGAGUAAACAAUAAACAAGUCAAUAACACAGUAAUUUUUUUUUUUAAGAAAUAACUAUUUUUCUAUGCACUGAUUUGCAUAGUUAAAUAAAAACAUUUAAAACAUAAAAUAUUUCAUGGGGGCUUUAACAUUCUGGGCCUGUUGUCAGCUGGCGAUUAGAGGCCCAAUUGUCAAACGCACGUUUGAAAUUUCCUAAUGUAAGAAUAUGAGCGCUGGCAUUUUCCAGCCCCAACGCCAGGUUCAACUAUGUACCUGUCUAACAUCAGCUCACUUGUGCUGAGGUGGGAGGGGUGUCAAUAUUGGAGGCGUGUCCUAUCGCAGUAGAGGAUUUUGCUAUAGGACCGUUAAGGUACCCCCGUCGAGAGUGAUACAAGUCAUCUCACUCAAGUUCUUAUGUCACCCGGCUAACAGGUGACUCACAUGUCCGCCGGACUGGCCUGGUAUCCUGCCCUUUUAUUCUGAGAUUAGCCUUGUGUGAUGCCGUUAGGCUUGUUUUAGGAUCCUAGAUAAUAUCAAUCAGACUUAGAGUACCUCUGGGUUUACUUUCACUUUCCCCUUGUAUGCUCUUAUAUCUAGACUCACACAAGCUUUACCUUAGUUACCAUUUACAGUCUAUGUCCGUCCACUAAUACUACUUGAAUAUUAAUAUAGAGGAUACCUGUUACAAUAAAAUGAUUAUUCUGUCCAAACCAUCAUAUUGUCUUUAGUGUAGAAACUAGCCUUGUUCCCCUAGAUUGGGAGUGUCAGAGGUGUUCUCUCCCCGAGGGUUUUGGGUCUAGUUUCUACUUUUCUUUCAAUGUUUGCAGUUCACACAGUUGUACAUGUUAUUACAGUUUCUUUCUGAUCCUUAUCUAUAACAUCAAACAUCAUCAAAACACUUACUACUAUUAAUGCCUUAUGUAUUACAACAAGCUGUUAAUAACCUAUAUGUAUUACAACAAGCAGUUAAUUACCUUCUAUAUGUAUUACAACAGGUGGUUAAUUACCUUCUAUAUGUAUUACAACAGGCUGUUAAUUACCUUCUAUAUGUAUUACAACAGGUGGUUAAUUACCUUCUAUAUGUAUUACAACAGGCUGUUAAUUACCUUCUAUAUGUAUUACAACAGGUGGUUAAUUACCUUCUAUAUGUAUUACAACAGGCUGUUAAUUACCUUCUAUAUGUAUUACAACAGGCUGUUAAUUACCUUCUAUAUGUAUUACAACAGGUGGUUAAUUACCUUCUAUAUGUAUUACAACAGGCGGUUAAUUACCUUCUAUAUGUAUUACAACAGGCUGUUAAUUACCUUCUAUAUGUAUUACAACAGGCUGUUAAUUACCUUCUAUAUGUAUUACAACAGGCGGUUAAUUACCUUCUAUAUGUAUUACAACAGGUGGUUAAUUACCUUCU